UACGGAGAGUGCAAGCGUUGCUCGGAAUUAUUGGGCGUAAAGGGUAGGUAGGUGGUCUCAUUUGUCUGGGGUGAAAGCCUUGAGCUUAACUCAAGAAGUGCCCCAGAAACGGUGAGACUAGAGUCCUGGAGAGGGUCGUGGAAUUCCCGGUGUAGCGGUGAAAUGCGUAGAGAUCGGGAGGAACACCAGAGGCGAAGGCGGGACUCUGGGCCGAUACUGACGCUGAGGAGCGAAAGCGUGGGGAGCAAACAGG
rnacentral:rRNA from 1 species